rnacentral:rRNA from 1 species
UAAUACGUAGGGGGCAAGUGUUGUCCGGAAUUAUUGGGCGUAAAGCGCGCGCAGGCGGUUUCUUAAGUCUGGUGUUUAAGUGCGGGGCUCAACCCCGUGACGCACUGGAAACUGGGAGACUUGAGUGCAGAAGAGGAGAGCGGAAUUCCACGUGUAGCGGUGAAAUGCGUAGAGAUGUGGAGGAACACCAGUGGCGAAGGCGGCUCUCUGGACUGUAACUGACGCUGAGGCGCGAAAGCGUGGGGAGCAAACAGGAUUAGAUACCCUGGUAGUCCACGCCGUAAACGAUGAGUGCUAGGUGUUGGGGGGGUCCACCCCUCGGUGCCGAAGUUAACACAUUAAGCACUCCGCCUGGGGAGUACGGUCGCAAGACUGAA